rnacentral:rRNA from 1 species
GUGUUCCGCCUGGGGAGUACGGUCGCAAGAUUAAAACUCAAAGGAAUAGACGGGUACCCGCACAAGUGGUGGAGCAUGUGGUUUAACUCGAAGAUACGCGAAAAACCUUACCUGGCCUUGACAUUGAUAGAAUCUUCCAGAGAUGGAGGAGUGCCCUUCGGGGAGCUUGAAGACAGGUGCUGCACGGCUGUCGUCAGCUCGUGUCGUGAGAUGUUGGGUUAAGUCCCGCAACGAGCGCAACCCUCGUCCUUAGUUGCCAGCAGGUUAAGCUGGGCACUCUAAGGAGACUGCCUUCGCAAGGAGGAGGAAGGUGAGGACGACGUCAAGUCAUCAUGGCCCUUACGGCCAGGGCUACACACGUGCUACAAUGGGGCGUACAGAGAGUUGCAAUACCGCGAGGUGGAGCCAAUCUCAUAAAGCGUCUCUCAGUUCGGAUUGUUCUCUGCAACUCGAGAGCAUGAAGCUGGAAUCACUAGUAAUCGUAGAUCAGCAUUGCUACGGUGAAUACGUUCCCGGGUCUUGUACACACCGCCCGU